ensembl:lncRNA
AAGGAGGAAGAAACAUGCUGUGGUUUUUCACACUUCUCUGCAGAAAACAUAGAGGAACUCUGAAAAAACAAUGAUGCCCAGCGUGAGUGUGCGGUGGGUGGGACUUUGAGAUGCUGUAAGACACGAGUUGAGUUCAGUGUUGAAACAGUUUGGAAAGAUGAAGUUUCUACUGAGCAGCAUGCUUCUCGCUUCUCUCUGUGCACUUUCAUCUUGGAGCGUGUCAUUGGACACACUUGUUGUGAUCCAGAGUCCUGAUGUUUCCGUCAUGGAGGGGGAGACGGUAAACAUCACCUGCUGCUGGACUGAGAAGAUCGAAAGAGUGACGGUGCGCUGGCUGAAGAAUGGAACAAUAAUUCAGAGUAAAGUUUGGCAGAAUAAAUCUCAAGGAUCUCUGAAAAAGGACGCAAAUGACUGUUUACGUCUGAUUUUUCCAAAUAUCACAAGAAAUGAUUCAGGGAGAUACAUCUGCAGAGUGUUUGUGGACAUACCAAUUCAAGUGGACCGAAAUGGAACUGGUACAUUGGUCACAGUUACUGACUUAAAGAGCACAGAUUAUGAAGACAAUGGAGAUGGAGAUUCAGGUGCUGCCGGAAAGCUAGAAACCCCUGUGAUAGUUGCUGCUGCUGUCGUGGUUCCAUUGUUUCUCAUCGCCGUCGCCUGUUUCUGCAGCCUGCGAAGGAAACGAGCCCAAGCAGCCAGGGUGAUCUACGAGGUUCCCCACAUCGACUCUGAGGAGGCAGAGAUGGACAAACACAGCACCAGUUCUUCCAGAGGCUCCUCUCAGUGGUGUCAGGUACUUGUUUACGAAUCUGUGGAAUACUUUCAGCGUGCAGAGACCAAAGGAGAUGAAUGAGGAUCUGCCUUCAUCAUGCUUUCAUCAUGUAUAUAAUGUACAUUCAUCACUGACUUAUGUAGAUGUUUUUAUAUGAUUGUAAAUAUUUUAUAUUCUUCAAUAAACUAAAUCAUAUCCAUCA